CCUACGGGAGGCAGCAGUAGGGAAUAUUCCACAAUGGGCGCAAGCCUGAUGGAGCAACACCGCGUGAGUGAAGAAGGGUUUCGGCUCGUAAAGCUCUUUUUUUGGGGAAGAAAGUGAGUGAGAGUAACUGUUCACGCAGUGACGGUAUCCAACAAGCAAGUGACGGCUAACUACGUGCCAGCAGCCGCGUUAAUAAGUAGGUGGCAAGCAUGGUCCGGAUUUGUUGGGCGUAAAGCGAGCGCAGAAGGUUGCUUAGGCCUGAUGGGAAAGCCUUGGGCUUAACCGAAGAGGUGCAUCGGAAACCGGGCGACUUGAGUGCAGAAGAGGACAGUGGAAUUCCAUGUGUAGCGGUGGAAUGCGUAGAUAUCUGGAAGAACACCAGUGGCGAAGGCGGCUGUCUGGUCUGCAACUGACGCUGAGGCACGAAAGCAUGGGUAGCGAACAGGAUUAGAUACCCCAGUAGUC
rnacentral:rRNA from 1 species